rnacentral:lncRNA from 10 species
GAAAUGGAAUGUUCCAGUUUUGCAAUUGCAUGAAAUUUUUCUUCCUUUUUCGUUAAUAGAAAUUGUAGGAGUGCAAUUUUGACCAAUUACUUUUUACUGGAAGAACUUCAAGAAUAGCUAUGAAGCAUAUGAAGAGGUCUUAAAUUACCCAGGGCUCCUGGAUGGUAAUGGUGGUCUGGACCACCGGGAAGUUGAAGAGAUGAGCUCUGGGACUCAUCAGCCCUGCUGCUGGACCAUAUGGGAGAUUGGUCUGGAACUGGUGACGAGCAUCUCUGGGGACAGUCCACCCUCCUCCAGUGGUCCCCAUUUCAGAUUGGACAAGGUCAAGGUGGCUACUUCAUGCUUCCUGGACAAUCCUUCCUAAAAUGCCCUGGCUUGCCACAUCUGUACCAGUUAAAGGGUGUAUCCUGGGAAUUCUGGGAUUUGUUGGCUUGCCUGGUGGUCAUUAAAGCUCCUGUAUCUUUCCUGUGUUUCCUCUCUGUCUCUCUCGGGCCUCCUUUUCACUUAUAAAAAACCAAAGUAUCCACUUUCAGG